rnacentral:lncRNA from 1 species
GAAGACUGCCUAACACAAAAGACCCAAAUUAGGCCACACCUCAGAUAACAGAAAUGUGAUACUCCUGAAAAGCAUGAGGAACAUACUUCCUCUCCUGAUAUUUCAGUUCACAACAUUGCCAGAACCAAUACUUUUAUUUUAUGUUCAGGCGACUCAGGUGUUUUUGAAAGAAAGCUGAGUACAGACCCCGCAGAGUCCACACAGAAAACGGUGGGAUGCUCUUCUGAGCACCAAGGUCAUUCGCUCUCAGUAGUUUACAAGCACAAAAAGCAGCCCUCUGAAGUGUUCAGGCUGUUUGCAAUACGUGUGCUGAAGAAUAAGCAAAAUCACCCACAAAAGGAGCCAUGAAGUUUGUGGUGAAAGCCAGAAUUAGAGCCAGUUCCAGAGAUGAGCAAUAUUCCCACCUUUGUUCACAGCUCACGUGCUGCGAGCAUGGUCUACAAAAGUAAAGAUGGAAACCAAAUGAUCAGAGAGCAUCAAGGUCUUUCCAGGCCCACGUGGGCUCCUCCUGGUAAGCCUGGGGUUGCUUGACACUGAACUGUCCCCAAGACACAGAGAUUCCUUUCCCUCAUGCCUUCAAGGAUUUACUACCCAGCAGGUUGGUCUCUCCAAUGCCAGCAGAUGAAAGGAUAUUCAGUUCAUGCUCUGAGCAGCAUUUUCAUUUCCCCUGGGUCUUGUGGAGCUCCUGCUAUUGACCAACUCAUUCUGCAGCCAUGCCCCCACAUCUUUUGGCAUCCCAGACACCUACAGGUCAGUGGAUUAUGGAAUAUUCUUUGAUGCAAGUU